UUUUUUUUUUUUCUCCUUCUAGGAACUUGAAAGAUUACACUUUGCUGUCCUCCUUGCAACUGGGGCCAUGUGGUCCUGGCCAAUAGGUUAUGAGGUGAAGUCACAUGUAUCACUUUCAGGCUGAAAUAUUUAAUUGCUGGUGUAAGAACCUCUUGCACUCUCUUCCCUUACUUCAGCAAACCUUGCUACCUGGAGCAGCUGGAAUGAUCCUAGAUGACUGAAACCUACAAUGUGUUGGUCAACACUAAAUAAGUGGAUGAACAAGGAUGCAAGGCGGUGUGUAAUAAGGAAAAAAGCACUGCGCCAGGGGGCAGAGUUGUUUCCAGAUAUUUAACCUGAUGUGAUUGGAAUAGCUGGUUCAAUAGUCUCUUCAAAGGCUUUUGUCUUUGUGUCUGAGGAUGGAGCUCCAAGUCCAAUCUUCCUAAGGCUUUGAUACCUUCCUCUGCACUAUUCCAGGAAAGUUCUUCAGACCAAGUUACAGGCUCCAGAAACUUCUGAAAACAAAAGGAGAAAAUACAAAGGCCUUUGUGCGCAGAUCAGGCCUAUGAUGUUCCUUUUAUCCUCACAUGGAUUUGUUUAGCGAGUUAAUGCAGUGCUUGUGUAUGUGAUUAAAUUUAAGCCAGUCAUCAUGGAAUACAAUUAUGAAGGCUGCGGGGUCCAUAUUUUGAAACAGAAGCAGGAAAACAACAUGAACUUGUUAGAGGAUGAAUCCAGACUUUGAUCUUAGCAAAUACAUAAACAGUAACAAGAUAGAAAUAAAAGGAAGAUGGAAACUUGGACACAGAGACACAAACAUACACAGGGAAGAAGCCAUGUGAAGACACAGGCAGAGAUUGAAGUGAUGGAUCCAUAAGCCCAAGAUCAGCAAGGAUUACCUGCAGCCACUACAAGCUAGGAGAGGGACCUGGGAUAGUUUCUCCUUCAGAGCUUCUAGACAGAACCUUUCGUUUAUCUCUCCUACUUCAUUACCUGCUUCCUGAGAUCAUUUCCCAAAUAAACUACCUGCACUUUCACU